rnacentral:rRNA from 1 species
UGGGGAAUAUUGCACAAUGGGCGAAAGCCUGAUGCAGCAACGCCGCGUGAGCGAUGAAGGCCUUUGGGUCGUAAAGCUCUGUCCUUGGGGAAGAAACAAAUGACGGUACCCAAGGAGGAAGCCCCGGCUAACUACGUGCCAGCAGCCGCGGUAAUACGUAGGGGGCAAGCGUUAUCCGGAAUUAUUGGGCGUAAAGAGUACGUAGGUGGUCUUUUAAGCGCAGGGUUUAAGGCAAUGGCUUAACCAUUGUUCGCCCUGUGAACUGGAAGACUUGAGUGUAGGAGAGGAAAGUGGAAUUCCUAGUGUAGCGGUGAAAUGCGUAGAUAUUAGGAGGAACAUCAGUGGCGAAGGCGACUUUCUGGACUAUUACUGACACUGAGGUACGAAAGCGUGGGGAGCAAACA